rnacentral:lncRNA from 1 species
AUUUUAUGUUAUUCUCGUUCAUUGGGAUUCCUAUAACAUCCUGAAUCUUGUACCGGCUGGGUAUACAAUUUCUUAAGCACAAGCAUGUCAGUCUUGGUCACUAAACAGUGGCGAUUGACCGCUAUCCUAAAAAGGCAGAACCCUACUUACUCAGAUUAGGAUAUUUUUUAUGCGGUCCCCAUAGAUCUGCUACCUCCUAAAUCAAACAUAGCUAUUUAGUCAUAUAAUGAUCAUUACUAUAGAAUUAAGCAGACCAGUCGUACUUAAACUAUUAGUAACUUUGAAUAAUCACUAUACUAUCUAAAUAGUAUUAUAAGUUUAACAGGUGAAGGACUUUCCCCUUAGAUAUCCUUUUACAGUUUAAGAAUACAUGAAUUAAUCCCAAUGUGUUAGUCGGAGCUCUAAAGACAUCGUAUAGCGUGCCGCAAUGCUCCGUCUACCGUGUUCUAGUCCGCUACUAACCUGUACAGGUGCUUGUGGUGUUAUGAAAUUACCACAAUCUACUAGAGAUAAUAACACUAACUCUGUUUGAAUAAUUCAAAACAUAACAAUUUAUUAGUCAGGUAAAUGUGUAUUACGCCAAUUCAUUCAGUCAAUUCAUAAACGAUCAGUACAAGACAUCAAGUUAUCAAAGACAAGUCCAAGAUUAAAUGAUGCAUUCCUGACUUCAAAAUACACAUAACAUGGAGCGUAUGCUCCAUGUUACGGGCUGAUCUGGGUAAGCAGAAUCGCGUCGAACAUUUCUCAAACCUUACCUUAAAGAUAAUCCAAGAAUCCCCUCAAGGAAAGGGGUGUGUGCAUAACAAAAGUCACACCCUUCACAGUGGUUCAAAAGAUGCCUGAAGUUUUAUAUUUAUUGUUUUCAUUAUGUCUAUUUCUGAGAGAAUGAGACCAUUGUACC